AGGAUAAACGCUGGCGGCGUGCCUAAAACAUGCAAGUCGAACGGGUGACUUCGGUCACCAGUGGCGAACGGCUGAGUAACGCGUGGGUGACCUCGCUCCGAGUGGGGGAUAACUGCCCGAAAGGGUGGCUAAUACCGCAUGUGCUCGUGGGAUCGUUCCUACGAACAAAGUCGCAAGACGCUCGGAGAUGGGCCCGCGUCCGAUUAGCUUGUUGGUGGGGUGACGGCCUACCAAGGCGACGAUCGGUAGCUGGUCUCAGAGGAUGAUCAGCCAGACUGGGACUGCGACACGGCCCAGACUCCUACGGAGGCAGCAGUUAGGAAUUUGGGCAAUGGGCGAAAGCCUGGCCCAGCAACGCCGCGUGGGGGAAGACGGCCUUCGGGUUGUAAACCCUUUUCCGAGGAAGAUAGUGACGGUACCUCGGAAGUAAGCCCCGGCUAACUAACCGUGCCCAGCGAGCCCGC
rnacentral:rRNA from 1 species